GAAAGUUUUUAACUUUAGUGGCGAACGGGUGCGUAAUACGUGAGAAUCUGCCCUUAGGAGAAGAAUAACUGCUGGAAACGGCUGCUAAAUCUUCAUAUGCCGAGAGGUGAAAUAGUUUAGGCUGCCUAAGGAUGAGCUCACGCCUGAUUAGCUAGUUGGUAAGGUAACGGCUUACCAAGGCCACGAUCAGUAGCUGGUUUGAGAGAACGAUCAGCCACACUGGGACUGAGACACGGCCCAGACUCCUCCGGGAGGCAGCAGUGAGGAAUUUUCCGCAAUGGGCGAAAGCCUGACGGAGCAAUACCGCGUGAGGGAUGAAGGAUUUUGGUCUGUAAACCUCUUUUCUCAAGAAAGAAGUUCUGACGGUACUUGAGGAAUAAGCAUCGGCUAACUCCGUGCCAGCAGCCGCGGUAAUACGGGGGAUGCAAGCGUUAUCCGGAAUCAUUGGGCGUAAAGCGCCUGUAGGUUGUUUACAAAGUCUGUUGUUAAAGACUAGGGCUUAACCCUAGAAAAGCAAUGGAAACUUGUAGACUAGAGUAUGGCAGGGGUAGAGGGAAUUUCUAGUGUAGCGGUGAAAUGCGUAGAUAUUAGAAAGAACACCAGUGGCGAAAGCGCUCUACUGGACCAUUACUGACACUCAGAGGCGAAAGCUAGGGUAGCAAAAGGGAUUAGAUACCCCUGUAGUCCUAGCCGUAAACGAUGGAUACUAGAUGUUGUGCAUAGUACAGUAUCGUAGCUAACGCGUUAAGUAUCCCGCCUGGGGAGUACGCUCGCAAGGGUGAAACUCAAAGGAAUUGACGGGGGCCCGCACAAGCGGUGGAGCAUGUGGUUUAAUUCGAUGCAACGCGAAGAACCUUACCAGGGCUUGACAUACUACAAAUUCUUUUGAGAAAGAGAAGUGCCUUCGGGAAUGUAGAUACAGGUGGUGCAUGGCUGUCGUCAGCUCGUGUCGUGAGAUGUUGGGUUAAGUCCCGCAACGAGCGCAACCCUUAUUUUUAGUUACCAAUUCCGUUGGGUUUUU
rnacentral:rRNA from 1 species